UACAGAGGGGGCAAGCGUUGUUCGGAAUUACUGGGCGUAAAGGGCGCGUAGGCGGCCUGCUAAGUCGAACGUGAAAUCCCCGGGCUCAACCCGGGAACUGCGUCCGAUACUGGUUGGCUUGAAUCCGGGAGAGGGAUGCGGAAUUCCAGGUGUAGCGGUGAAAUGCGUAGAGAUCAGGAAGAACAUCGGUGGCGAAGGCGCUCUGCUGGACCAUAACUGACACUCAGGGACGAAAGCUAGGGGAGCGAAUGGG
rnacentral:rRNA from 1 species